CAUGUACUCCCUCCGUCCCAAAAUUCUUGUCUUAAAUUUGUCUAGAUACGGAUGUAUCAAAUACUAAAACGUGACUUGAUACAUCCGUAUCUAGACAAAUCUAAGACAAGAAUUUUGGGACGGAGGGAGUACAUC
rnacentral:pre_miRNA from 1 species